CUGCAAAUUCCCUGGUCUGGUUCUGUAAUGAUCAGGACAGGCGAAACAUCAACUACAGCAGGACCACACAUGUGCCCUGACCGCGUCUCCCUACGUCUGGUUUUCAAAUGCUGGUGACAAAG